rnacentral:rRNA from 1 species
GUCCACGCCGUAAACGAUGCUAACUCGUUUUGGGUUUCCGGAUUCAGAGACUAAGCGAAAGUGAUAAGUUAGCCACCUGGGGAGUACGUUCGCAAGAAUGAAACUCAAAGGAAUUGACGGGGCCCGCACAAGCAGUGGAGUAUGUGGUUUAAUUCGACGCAACGCGAAGAACCUUACCAAGUCUUGACAUCCCUUGACAGACAUAGAAAUAUGUAAUCUCUUCGGAGCAAGGAGACAGGUGGUGCAUGGUUGUCGU